AUGCCCAAGAGGAAGGUCAGCUCCACCGAGGGGGUGGCGAAGGAGGAGCCCAAGAGGAGAUCAGCACGGUUGUUGGCUAAACCUGCUCCUGCAAAAGUGGAAGCAAAGCCAAAAAAGGCGGCGGGAAAAGAUAAAUCUUCAGACAAAAAAGUACAAGCAAAAGGGAAAAGGGGAGCGAAGGAAAGCAGGCUGAAGUGGCUAACCAAGAAACUAAAGAAGAGUUCUGCAGAAAAUGGAGAAACUAAAACCGAGGAGAAUCCAGCCUCUGAUGAAGCAGGAGAGAAAGAAGCCAAGCCUGAAUAAUAUCAUAUCCCAUGUCUUAUCAGUGGUCCCUGUCUCCCUUCUUGUACAAUCCAGAGGAAUAUUUUUUAUCAACUAUUUUAUAAAUGCAAGUUUUUUAGUAGCUCUAGAAACAUUUUUAAGAAGCAGGGAAUCCCACCUCAUCCCAUUUUUUAAGUGUAAAUGCUUUUUUUUAAGAGGUGAAAUCAUUUGCUGGUUGUUUAUUUUUUGGUACGACCAGAAAAUAGUGUGGGAUAUUGAAUUACAGGAGGCUUUGACUGUCUUGGGUAUCAGCUUAACAUUCCAUAGAUGGGGGGUUAGUUUUUAUAUCCUAUAAUGCAAAGUAUACUAAGUGGCAAUAUGGAUCACAGUCCUGCAUUUAAUGUCUUGAACAUUUAAAAUUACUUCUAUUCCCAUGUUGUUUUUUAGUAGAAUUGUUUCCUAAAGAAAACCACUCCUUGAUCAUGGCUCUCCCUAUCAGAAUUGUGUGCACUCUGUAACAUCUUUGGUCGUAGUAGUCUUGUUUUCCUGAUAACUUUGUUAAUGUGUUGUGAAAGAUUGAAAAAUUGAGUAUGUUAUGUAUAUGAUAAAUUGUGAAUUGGUGAAAUGUAUGUAGCAGCUUAUCAACAUUUGAAGAUACUGGUACUUGAUAUCCUCUUAAGGAAAAUUUACCUCCAAAUUUUAAGCUAGAAAGUCACUGGAAUAACUUUUAAAAAUA